rnacentral:misc_RNA from 1 species
AACACUGUUAACCUGCGGUACCUGCGGAGGGAUCAUUACCGAGUGUGGUCCCAUAAGGGGCGCCUCCCGUCCUUUGCAGGGCCUUUAGGGGCUUUUUGACUUUGCUUCGGCGGGCUUGCCCCGCCGGAACACCCUCAAGAAAAUCUUUAUGAACCGUUUGUCUGAGUUGCUUGCGAAUAAAAACAAAACUUUCAACAACGGAUCU